rnacentral:rRNA from 1 species
UCAGCCGCCGCGGUAAUACCAGCACCUCGAGUGGUCAGGAGGUUUAUUGGGCCUAAAGCAUCCGUAGCCGGCUACGCAAGUCUUUGGUCAAAUCCAGCUGCUUAACAGAUGGGCUGCCAGAGAUACUACAUAGCUAGGGAGCGGGAGAGGUAGACGGUAUUCUGUGGGUAGGGGUAAAAUCCACUGAUCCAUAGAGGACCACCAGUGGCGAAGGCGGUCUACCAGAACGCGUUCGACGGUGAGGGAUGAAAGCUGGGGGAGCAAACCGGAUUAGAUACCCGGGUAGUCCCAGCUGUAAACGAUGCAAACUCGGUGAUGCAUUGGCUUAUGGCCAAUGCAGUGCCGCAGGGAAGCCGUUAAGUUUGCCGCCUGGGAAGUACGGACGC